AGGGGUAGGGAAGCGGAAGGGGGGAGGAAACGGGGCAGGCAAGGAGAAAUGGAAGACAAUGGAGGUGCCGGGAAGCGGAAGGAGAAGCUGACCGACGCUCAGAAGAAAGAAAAGAAGGAACAGGAUCUCCAGAAUAACAUCACAUUUUCAGUUGAGGCGCACCUGGAGUUUUAUAGGGACAAGCACAAAGAAAUGGACGAAGAAACCUCAACAAAGAACAUGAGAGAGCUACUAGCGGCAAGCCUAAAACCAAGGAAAGAGAAGUAAGAGUCAGUUAACUUUGUAAUGCCUAGAUGGGUAGAUGUAGCUUGCACGGUUCCGCUUCUAGAGCUUGAUGGAUGGUUGUAACUCGUAAUGCAAUGGGAAUAAACUGAUUUGUACCA